AAUUGGAUAUUGCCUUGUCGGUUUGUUACGAUUUUGCAUCUGCUUGGAGAUUACACAUUGCAUUGUUUUUUUUUUUUUAUCACAAUAUUUAAUUGGUCUCCAUCAUAAACGAUCUUCAGUAGACCCUACGUGGGCGGAAUUAUGUGCAAGCAGACCAAGCUGUUUGUAUGAAUUUAUGCAAACGCAAUCUACACAUUCGUGAUAUCAGUGAUAUCGAUGACAUAUACCUUUGCUUGAUGUUGGUAUUGUUAGGGAGUUGACGGUUUUUUGUUUCUCCAGUGUUGGCGCUGUUGUUUUGUUGCCAAUGGGGAUAUAGGAGAUAGCUUAACGGGAUGACUGACAUACUAAUUAUGCAAAAAUGAUUUAAUUUACAUAAUUGACGAUGAAAUUUUAAAACUAUGAUGCAAACAUGUUAUCGAAAAAAAGAGAGAAACAUAAAAAAAAGAAGAACUGAGAUAAUCAAUGUAAAUUAGUUCCUUAUUUGCAUAAGUAGCUAGAAACUAUCACAACACUGUUAUACACAGUGUCUGUUGAAAAGGUCAACAUCAUAUGGCGAGGAUAUGAGAUCGUGGGACUCUAGUUAACGUAUCUUUUAGAAAUGUCGGAAUCCGAAAACAUCGCCGAAGACCUCGCUUCCAAAGGUGCACCGAUGGGGACUCCAAACGACUCUUCGGCCCUCGUCGAGUGUUCUUCCGGAGAUCGCCCGAAUGCCAAUCAUACAAAAGUAGGGAGUGUACCAAAAGCCCGAGACACAAACCCUGUAUACACACAACGCACCGAAAAUGCUGAUCGUGAGGAAAACAACAUGAACCCGAGUCCAAUGUACGCCGUGAACGCCAGCCCGAAACAAGAACCAUCCAUUAUAUACACCCACGAACAUGCCUGUUCUUCUGGGCAUCUCCCAAAUGCAAGGGGUGUAUCAAAAUCUCAAGACCCAAACCCUGUGUACACACAAAGCACCGUGAAUGUUGAUCACACACACCAGGGAAAAACCCGGAAUCCAUGUCCAAUGUACACCCAAAACGCCGUGAACCCCAACACGACCUGCCCUACUGUGGAACAUGUGGAAGAGGAUAGCAGUGGCAGCCAUUAUUAUGCCAAUAAUGAUGAUACUCUAGACUAUGUGGAAGAGGACAACAGUACUGGGGAACAUUAUUAUGUUGAUGAUGAGGACAAGCCUGUGGAAAGUGAUGAGAACGGACAAACAGUCGAUACGGCCUGCGACGAUGUCGAUAUGGAACCAUAUGCAGUUGCACAUAUGUGCGCAGAUAAAGAAGCAUCUGCUACAAGUUCGGAGGCGACACGAACAAACGAACGCUCUCAUGACACUAACACGGCCACAAACAUCAGGCAAAACGUGUCGUCCAACUUGGCAGGCACCACUGAUGAAACUAACCCGUCAGACACUGUUGGAGAUAACAGUACUCUACAUAAUCUUGGACGUCCCUCAAAUGCCCAUCAUCCAAAUCCUGUGUGUGGGCAAAAUUCCCUCAACCCUAAUCCGAUGUACGUGCCAAAUGUUUGCAGACAAACAGGUAAUAUGUCUACUUUUAAUUAAUUUAUUCACUUUUUAGUCCUCUGUAUAACCUUACUAGCUAGUAGUUUUGAUAUGAGGUUUCAAUUUAUCACAAAAUAUUAUUUUAUUUCCUUUAAUGAAUUAGAAUAUAAAAAUAUAUGGUUCUUUCUGAAGCAAAGAUGUUGCUAUGCUGUGUGAUAAUCAGGACACAGAUGUCGCCGGGUGUGUGUCGCUGUUGCAGCAGCUAUCCUCCUAGUGCUGAUCACCGGUGGAGUCGGUAAAGCUUUCUUUGGUAUGGACAGCAAGGAUACUCAAAACGUAAGCUGAACUUAAGCCUAUAUUUCUUUUUCAUUACCAGCUGUAAUUUGUUAUAAAAAGCUUAUUGCACCUACAAGCAUUUCCAGGAAUAUGUGUAUUAUUCACCACCGUGUGAUAUGAUAUUCUAAUUUAAAAGUGGAUCAGACAGUUUAUGUGAUAUCUUCCUAUAUACAGCCCACGCUUUCUGUGGAUACGAUCCAGAUCACUCGUCAGCCUGUCUGCUGCAGUUCGGGAAUAACGCGUACGACAAUGGCCGACCGCCACCACAUGUCUACGGUAAGCUUAAGCAUACUUGAAGGACUAUGUAGGCCUUCAAAUGGCUUUCCUUGGUACUGAAAAAGAAGUUGUAUCUUGUUUUCUGAACAUACUUUGGUUUUGAUUUUGGGGUAACAGAGAGCUUUGAAAGAAUUCUUGUAUUAUCCACGAAUGAGUUAUCUUCUUAUCUACAGCUGACACCUUCAGUGGAUACGAUCCACACCACUGGACAACCUGUCUCCUACAGUUUGGGAAGGACGCGCCCGACAAAGGCUGACCCCCUAAACAUGUCUUCGGUAAGUGUAUUGGAAAGGCUAUCACCUUGCGCGUGCGUGUGUAUGUGAAAAGCUGAGGAUGUAUAGGGACUUUCAAAACUAUAGACAUGUAUAUUAGGCCCCCGGCCUUCGUUUACACUUAGCAGAACUUGUACCUUCUGUUCUACAGCCGACACCAUUUGCGGCUACGACCCUCACCACUGGUCAACCUGCCUGCUGCAGUACCGAGACGACUCGCAUGGCUGAUUCCUUGUACAUGUCUACGACCAGGACUACAGUUUCACCAGCUUCCAGAAGUUCACCAGGUAAAUAGUUUAGCAUUUAAGUGAAUAGGGGC